rnacentral:misc_RNA from 1 species
GAUGAAGAACGUAGCGAAAUGCGAUACGUAAUGUGAAUUGCAGAAUUCAGUGAAUCAUCGAGUGUUUGAACGCACAUUGCGCCCCCUGGUAUUCCGGGGGGCAUGCCUGUCCGAGCGUCAUUGCUGCCCUCAAGCUCGGCUUGUGUGUUGGGCCUCCGUCCUCCUCCCGGGGGACGGGCCCGAAAGGCAGCGGCGGCACCGCGUCCGGUCCUCGAGCGUAUGGGGCUUCGUCACCCGCUCUUGUAGGCCCGGCCGGCGCUUGCCGACACAUCAAUCUUUUUUCCAGGUUGACCUCGGAUCAGGUAGGGAUACCCGCUGAACUUAAGCAUAUCAAUAAGCGGAGGA